GGGAUAAUCCGGAGAAAUCCGGUCUAAUACCGCAUAAUAUCGUGAAUCUGCAUGGAUUUGCGAUUAAAGGAGCGAUCCGGUGACGGAUGGGCAUGCGUGACAUUAGCUAGUCGGCGGGGUAACGGCCCACCGAGGCGACGAUGUCUAGGGGUUCUGAGAGGAAGGUCCCCCACACUGGUACUGAGACACGGACCAGACUCCUACGGGAGGCAGCGGUGAGGAAUAUUGGUCAAUGGGCUUACGCCUGAACCAGCCAAGUCGCGUGAGGGAAGACUGCCCUAUGGGUUGUAAACCUCUUUUGUCAGGGAGCAACGCCGGCUACGUGUAGCCGGACUGAGAGUACCUGAAGAAAAAGCAUCGGCUAACUCCGUGCCAGCAGCCGCGGUAAUACGGAGGAUGCGAGCGUUAUCCGGAUUUAUUGGGUUUAAAGGGUGCGUAGGCGGAAUGCCAAGUCAGCGGUAAAAUCGCGGGGCUCAACCUCGCUCCGCCGUUGAAACUGGCGUUCUUGAGUGGGCGAGAAGUAUGCGGAAUGCGUGGUGUAGCGGUGAAAUGCAUAGAUAUCACGCAGAACUCCGAUUGCGAAGGCAGCAUACCGGCGCCCAACUGACGCUGAAGCACGAAAGCGUGGGUAUCGAACAGGAUUAGAUACCCUGGUAGUCCACGCAGUAAACGAUGAAUACAAGGUGUUCGGGGCAAAUGAGCCUUGAGUGGCACAG
rnacentral:rRNA from 1 species